GAGUUUGAUCCUGGCUCAGGAUGAACGCUGGCGGCGUGCUUAACACAUGCAAGUCGAACGGACUCAUAUUGAAACCUAGUGAAGUAUGAGCUAGUGGCGGACGGGUGAGUAACGCGUGGAAAACCUGCCGUAUACUGGGGGAUAACACUUAGAAAUAGGUGCUAAUACCGCAUAAGCGCACAGCUUCGCAUGAAGCAGUGUGAAAAACUGAGGUGGUAUACGAUGGUUCCGCGUCUGAUUAGCUAGUUGGUGGAGUAAAAGCCUACCAAGGCAACGAUCAGUAGCCGGCCUGAGAGGGUGAACGGCCACAUUGGGACUGAGACACGGCCCAAACUCCUACGGGAGGCAGCAGUGGGGAAUAUUGCACAAUGGGGGAAACCCUGAUGCAGCGACGCCGCGUGAGUGAAGAAGUAUUUCGGUAUGUAAAGCUCUAUCAGCAGGGAAGAAAUACUGACCAUAGGGUCAGCAGACGGUACUUGACUAAGAAGCCCCGGCUAACUACGUGCCAGCAGCCGCGGUAAUACGUAGGGGGCAAGCGUUAUCCGGAUUUACUGGGUGUAAAGGGAGCGUAGACGGCAGCGCAAGUCUGAAGUGAAAUGCCAGGGCUUAACCCUGGAACUGCUUUGGAAACUGUGCAGCUAGAGUGCAGG
rnacentral:rRNA from 1 species